rnacentral:rRNA from 1 species
GUACCUACGGGACGCAGCAGUGAGGAAUAUUGGUCAAUGGGCGAGAGCCUGAAACAGCCAAGUCGCGUGAGGGAAGACGGUCCUAUGGAUUGUAAACCUCUUUUGUCGGGGAGCAAAAAGACUACGUGUAGUCCCAGGCGAGAGUACCCGAAGAAAAAGCAUCGGCUAACUCCGUGCCAGCAGCCGCGGUAAUACGGAGGAUGCGAGCGUUAUCCGGAUUUAUUGGGUUUAAAGGGUGCGCAGGCGGGAG